rnacentral:rRNA from 1 species
GCGACUAAGCGUACACGGUGGAUGCCCUGGCAGUCAGAGGCGAUGAAGGACGUGCUAAUCUGCGAUAAGCGUCGGUAAGGUGAUAUGAACCGUUAUAACCGGCGAUUUCCGAAUGGGGAAACCCAGUGUGUUUCGACACACUAUCAUUAACUGAAUCCAUAGGUUAAUGAGGCGAACCGGGGGAACUGAAACAUCUAAGUACCCCGAGGAAAAGAAAUCAACCGAGAUUCCCCCAGUAGCGGCGAGCGAACGGGGAGCAGCCCAGAGCCUGAAUCAGUGUGUGUGUUAGUGGAAGCGUCUGGAAAGGCGCGCGAUACAGGGUGACAGCCCCGUACACAAAAAUGCACAUGCUGUGAGCUCGAUGAGUAGGGCGGGACACGUGGUAUCCUGUCUGAAUAUGGGGGGACCAUCCUCCAAGGCUAAAUACUCCUGACUGACCGAUAGUGAACCAGUACCGUGAGGGAAAGGCGAAAAGAACCCCGGCGAGGGGAGUGAAAAAGAACCUGAAACCGUGUACGUACAAGCAGUGGGAGCACGCUUAGGCGUGUGACUGCGUACCUUUUGUAUAAUGGGUCAGCGACUUAUAUUCUGUAGCAAGGUUAACCGAAUAGGGGAGCCGAAGGGAAACCGAGUCUUAACUGGGCGUUAAGUUGCAGGGUAUAGACCCGAAACCCGGUGAUCUAGCCAUGGGCAGGUUGAAGGUUGGGUAACACUAACUGGAGGACCGAACCGACUAAUGUUGAAAAAUUAGCGGAUGACUUGUGGCUGGGGGUGAAAGGCCAAUCAAACCGGGAGAUAGCUGGUUCUCCCCGAAAGCUAUUUAGGUAGCGCCUCGUGAAUUCAUCUCCGGGGGUAGAGCACUGUUUCGGCAAGGGGGUCAUCCCGACUUACCAACCCGAUGCAAACUGCGAAUACCGGAGAAUGUUAUCACGGGAGACACACGGCGGGUGCUAACGUCCGUCGUGAAGAGGGAAACAACCCAGACCGCCAGCUAAGGUCCCAAAGUCAUGGUUAAGUGGGAAACGAUGUGGGAAGGCCCAGACAGCCAGGAUGUUGGCUUAGAAGCAGCCAUCAUUUAAAGAAAGCGUAAUAGCUCACUGGUCGAGUCGGCCUGCGCGGAAGAUGUAACGGGGCUAAACCAUGCACCGAAGCUGCGGCAGCGACGCUGAUGCGUUGUUGGGUAGGGGAGCGUUCUGUAAGCCUGCGAAGGUGUGCUGUGAGG